ensembl:lncRNA
GACAGCUCCAUCCUCUCUAUCCCUCACUGCUGUUUAUUAAAUAUAGGCCAGCUGUGCGCAUCACAAAUCCCCAAAUGAGUGCCUUUCGGGUCUUCUUUCGCCUCGCGCCAUUGGCUGACCACUGGCCUGAUUUCCACUGAUCUGCAUGUGCGAGCAUGUGAGACAGUACUUAACACAUGCGAGAUGCAGCUGUUAUCCUGCUGCGCUCUUUAGACUGCUGCUGGUCGGUCUCUCUCAUCCUUCAUCGGUCGACACUCUUCUGUCAGCGGCAGAAUGCGACGAUUGCUGGACAGCAGCUGGAUAAAGUUUGGACCUGCUGGAAGAGAUGACUGGGUGUCUGGGUCCCCAUCGCCGCCUACUGCAGAACAACGACUACAGGGUUACCACUGGAAUGAGCUUUCGAGUGAAAACUACGGGAGAUCGGAGCUUAUCCUGUACAUCGUUCUCCCGCUCGUCACGCUCCUCGUGUUCGGUGCCGUGUUUGUCCUUCUGUACCGAAGGUUCAGGCAGAACAAGCUCGGACUGGCCAGCAUCAUCGCCCUGGACCUGCAGGACCCGGAGCUCAACGCCGAGAUUCUGUCGUCACUCACCGGGAACGCGGAGCGGCUGAAUAGCACGAGCUCGGACAUGUCUGACGGGGUUUUGCUCAUGGUUUACCUCCCGCCGCCCUACGAGGACACGCUGACGAAGAUCACGCGCGCCGCCAGCCUCAGCAGCGGGAAAGACGUCGAGUCCAUCAAAGCUGAAGACCUCGAAGCCAGACUGUGUCCUGAGCUCAAGUCGAGUGGGAAGUUUGUCUGAGAGAAGACACACAGGAGCUAGUUGUCACACGGUGAAUAUAACACAAGGGCUAUCUCAGUUUUCUCAAUCACACAACUACUUAUCUUCUCCAGAACUUGUGUCUGUUGGAUGAAUUUUAACAAAGACUAUAGAAUACCCAAGACAUGUCACUGGAAAAAUGCAACGCUCAAUAUGGCCGCUCUAUCGAAGGAAGCCCCGCCUUCUCAUUAAAAGAGCCAAUCGCUAAUCGGUAAAGUCAGCGCGUCACUGCAGCUGCCGUUAGAAGUACCGGUUAUUAUAGAAACAGUCAGCUUUCUGGGACGUGAGCUCAGGACUGCGCAUGCGCACUGGGUGGUCUAGCCUGAAUAAUAAGCUUUUUUAACACUAUUUGAGCAAAAGAGACAACAUUUAUGAGACAGUUUUUGUCAGAUUUUAUCGGUGAUUUCAAAUAUGAAAUGUAAUCGUAAGCUUGGCGAACAGUUUUGUAGAAUUUGAUGUUUCCCCAUUCAAAGAGAUAGGAGCUGCUCUUGCAUGCCCGAGAGGCGUUUCAAAGAUGGCCACAGAGUGACAUGACUUGUCUUAAAGAGACUUUGAUUCUAAUCUACAAACUAAAACAACAGUGGCAAAACUUUAAGGUAUGUGCCUGACUUUCUAAAAUAAACCUCAAGUGAGAAAUAUUCA